CUCGUGUCGUGAGAGUGUUCGGGUUAAGUCCCGUAACGAGCGCAACCCUUGUCCUUAGUUACCAGCACGUUAUGGUGGGCACUCUAAGGAGACUGCCGGUGACAAACCGGAGGAAGGUGGGGAUGACGUCAAGUCAUCAUGGCCCUUACGGCCUGGGCUACACACGUGCUACAAUGGUCGGUACAAAGGGUUGCCAAGCCGCGAGGUGGAGCUAAUCCCAUAAAACCGAUCGUAGUCCGGAUCGCAGUCUGCAACUCGACUGCGUGAAGUCGGAAUCGCUAGUAAUCGUGAAUCAGAAUGUCACGGUGAAUACGUUCCCGGGCCUU
rnacentral:rRNA from 1 species